UACGGGGGGAGCAAACGUUGUUCGGAAUUACUGGGCGUAAAGGGCUCGUAGGUGGCCAACUAAGUCGGACGUGAAAUCCCUCAGCUUAACUGGGGAACUGCGUCCGAUACUGGAUGGCUUGAGUUUGGGAGAGGGAUGCGGAAUUCCAGGUGUAGCGGUGAAAUGCGUAGAUAUCUGGAGGAACACCGGUGGCGAAGGCGGCAUCCUGGACCAACACUGACACUGAGGAGCGAAAGCCAGGGGAGCAAACGGG
rnacentral:rRNA from 1 species